rnacentral:pre_miRNA from 1 species
AAAAAUGGGGAAAGCGUUUAUUCAACGUUUCAGCCGGAGAUCGGCCUUCAUUCCUGAUCAAGGCCGGUCUCCGGCUGAAACGUUGAAUAAACGCUUUCCCCAUUUUG